GCGGGCAGCUAGCUCUCUGCAACUCUCACAUAGUCGCCCACUGAAGCUAAGCAGGACUGCGCCCGGUCAGCACCUGGAUGGGAGACCACAUGGGAAAGCUAGGUUGCUGCCAGAA
rnacentral:rRNA from 1 species